rnacentral:rRNA from 1 species
CGCGUAUGCAACCUACCCAUAACUGGGGCAUAGCUUCCGGAAACGGAAAUUAAUACCCCAUAGUAUUAUAACAUCGCAUGAUAUAAUAAUUAAAGUUCCGACGGUUAUGGAUGGGCAUGCGUGCCAUUAGCUAGUUGGUGAGGUAACGGCUCACCAAGGCUAUGAUGGCUAGGGGGUCUUAAAGGAUGGUCCCCCACACUGGUACUGAGACACGGACCAGACUCCUACGGGAGGCAGCAGUGAGGAAUAUUGGUCAAUGGGCGCAAGCCUGAACCAGCCAUGCCGCGUGCAGGAAGACGGCCCUAUGGGUUGUAAACUGCUUUUAUAUGGGAAGAAAACGUUCUACGUGUAGGGCAUUGACGGUACCAUAAGAAUAAGCAUCGGCUAACUCCGUGCCAGCAGCCGCGGUAAUACGGAGGAUGCAAGCGUUAUCCGGAUUUAUUAGGUUUAAAGGGUGUGUAGGCGGGACUCUAAGUCAGUGGUGAAAUCUUUCGGCUCAACCGGAAAACUGCCAUUGAUACUGGAGUUCUUGAGUAUAGUUGAGGUAGGCGGAAUGUGUAAUGUAGCGGUGAAAUGCUUAGAUAUUACACAGAACACCGAUUGCGAAGGCAGCUUACUAAGCUAUUACUGACGCUGAUGCACGAAAGCGUGGGUAGCGAACAGGAUUAGAUACCCUGGUAGUCCACGCCGUAAACGAUGAUUACUCGUUGUUGGCGAUAUAUUGUCAGCGACUGAGCG